UACGUAGGGUGCGAGCGUUAAUCGGAAUUACUGGGCGUAAAGCGUGCGCAGGCGGUUCGUCGUGUCUGAUGUGAAAGCCCCGGGCUCAACCUGGGAAUGGCAUUGGAAACUGGCGGACUAGAGUGUGGCAGCGGGGGGUGGAAUUCCGCGUGUAGCAGUGAAAUGCGUAGAGAUGCGGAGGAACACCGAUGGCGAAGGCAGCCCCCUGGGCUAACACUGACGCUCAGGCACGAAAGCGUGGGGAGCAAACAGG
rnacentral:rRNA from 1 species